GGGACGAACGCUGGCGGCGUGCCUAACACAUGCAAGUCGAACGAGGUUCAGUCAGUAGCAAUACUGACGAAGACCUAGUGGCGAACGGGUGAGUAGCACGUGAGCAACCUACCCCGAAGACCGGGACAACACCGGGAAACCGGUGCUAAUACCGGAUAUCCCCAUCGAGUCGCAUGGCUUGAUGAGGAAAUGGAUUCCGCUUCGGGAGGGGCUCGCGGCCUAUCAGCUUGUUGGUGAGGUAACGGCUCACCAAGGCUUCGACGGGUAGCUGGUCUGAGAGGACGAUCAGCCACACUGGGACUGAGACACGGCCCAGACUCCUACGGGAGGCAGCAGUGGGGAAUCUUGCACAAUGGGCGAAAGCCUGAUGCAGCAACGCCGCGUGAGGGACGAAGGCUUUCUGAGUUGUAAACCUCUUUCAGCAGGGACGAUUGUGACGGUACCUGCAGAAGAACGCCCGGCCAACUCGUGCCAGCAGCCGCGGUAA
rnacentral:rRNA from 1 species